CUUAGGGUCCUUGACAUCCAUGAGAACUUUGCAGAGAUGCUUUGGUGCCUUCGGGAACUCUGAGACAGGUGCUGCAUGGCUGUCGUCAGCUCGUGUUGUGAAAUGUUGGGUUAAGUCCCGCAACGAGCGCAACCCUUAUCCUUUGUUGCCAGCGGUUCGGCCGGGAACUCAAAGGAGACUGCCAGUGAUAAACUGGAGGAAGGUGGGGAUGACGUCAAGUCAUCAUGGCCCUUACGAGUAGGGCUACACACGUGCUACAAUGGCGCAUACAAAGAGAAGCGACCUCGCGAGAGCAAGCGGACCUCAUAAAGUGCGUCGUAGUCCGGAUUGGAGUCUGCAACUCGACUCCAUGAAGUCGGAAUCGCUAGUAAUCGUGGAUCAGAAUGCCACGGUGAAUACGUUCCCGGGUCUUGUGCACACCGAGGGG
rnacentral:rRNA from 1 species